AUUGAACGCUGGCGGCAGUCCUAACACAUGCAAGUCGAACGGUAACAGGAAGACGCUUGCUUCUUUGCUGACGAGUGGCGGACGGGUGAGUAAUGUCUGGGAAACUGCCUGAUGGAGGGGGAUAACUACUGGAAACGGUAGCUAAUACCGCAUAACGUCGCAAGACCAAAGAGGGGGACCUUCGGGCCUCUUGCCAUCGGAUGUGCCCAGAUGGGAUUAGCUAGUAGGUGGGGUAACGGCUCACCUAGGCGACGAUCCCUAGCUGGUCUGAGAGGAUGAGCAGCCACACUGGAACUGAGACAAGGUCCAGACUCCUACGGGAGGCAGCAGUGGGGAAUAUUGCACAAUGGGCGCAAGCCUGAUGCAGCCAUGCCGCGUGUAUGAAGAAGGACUUCGGGUUGUAAAGUACUUUCAGCGGGGAGGAAGGGAGUAAAGUUAAUACCUUUGCUCAUUGACGUUACCCGCAGAAGAAGCACCGGCUAACUCCGUG
rnacentral:rRNA from 1 species